AACCCGGAGAAUAAAACACGAGGAACCAGAAACCCGGAGAAUAAAACACGAGGAACAAGGAGGCAUGAUGAAAAUGAAAGAAGAAAGACAAGAUCUGAAUGAGGUGGAGGAUCAGAAAGAUCAUGAUGUCAAUGGAGAAAAAUCUGUGAGUUGCAGCAUUAAAAAAAAAGUCGUCAAAAAGCCUUUCAUCUGCUCUCAGUGUGGAAAGUGUUUUACACAGAAAGCAAGCCUUGAGAGGCACAUGUUAAUUCAUGCUGG